UUAAACUACUUCUUGUAUCCAAAGACAGCAAGUCCGCCUACGCUAAAGCUACGGCGCAUAAAUCUUGCCCAGGAUUCAAUAUAUAAACUUAUUAUAAACGUCUUUGGAAGACGUUUUUUUUUAUAUGG
rfam:Actinobacteria bacterium RBG_19FT_COMBO_36_27 rbg_19ft_combo_scaffold_3968, whole genome shotgun sequence.